rnacentral:rRNA from 1 species
GAUCGUGUCAGAUUGAACGCUGGCGGCAGGCCUAACACAUGCAAGUCGAGCGGAUGAAGGGAGCUUGCUCCUGGAUUCAGCGGCGGACGGGUGAGUAAUGCCUAGGAAUCUGCCUGGUAGUGGGGGGAUAACGUCCGGAAACGGGCGCUAAUACCGCAUACGUCCUGAGGGAGAAAGUGGGGGAUCUUCGGACCUCACGCUAUCAGAUGAGCCUAGGUCGGAUUAGCUAGUUGGUGGGGUAAAGGCCUACCAAGGCGACGAUCCGUAACUGGUCUGAGAGGAUGAUCAGUCACACUGGAACUGAGACACGGUCCAGACUCCUACGGGAGGCAGCAGUGGGGAAUAUUGGACAAUGGGCGAAAGCCUGAUCCAGCCAUGCCGCGUGUGUGAAGAAGGUCUUCGGAUUGUAAAGCACUUUAAGUUGGGAGGAAGGGCAGUAAGUUAAUACCUUGCUGUUUUGACGUUACCAACAGAAUAAGCACCGGCUAACUUCGUGCCAGCCGCCGC